AUGAACGCUGGCGGCGUGCCUAACACAUGCAAGUCGAACGAAGCUCUUGAAGCGGAGAUUUCGGUCAAAGCUGAUAGAUGACUGAGUGGCGGACGGGUGAGUAACGCGUGGGCAACCUGCCCUAUACUGGGGGAUAGCAGUUGGAAACGACUGAUAAUACCGCAUAAGCGCACGGGAGGGCAUCCUUCUGUGUGAAAAGAUUUAUUGGUAUAGGAUGGACCCGCGUCUGAUUAGCUAGUUGGUGAGGUAACGGCCCACCAAGGCGACGAUCAGUAGCCGGACUGAGAGGUCGGACGGCCACAUUGGGACUGAGAGACGGCCCAAACUCCUACGGGAGGCAGCAGUGGGGGAUAUUGCACAAUGGGGGAAACCCUGAUGCAGCGACGCCGCGUGAGUGAAGAAGUAUUUCGGUAUGUAAAGCUCUAUCGACAGGGAAGAAAGACUCCGCAAGGAGAGAUGACGGUACCUGAAUAAGAAGCCCCGGCUAACUACGUGCCAGCCGCUGC
rnacentral:rRNA from 1 species